rnacentral:rRNA from 1 species
UCUGACGGUGUGCCGGUGGGCGCGGGAAUACUGUGGGCUCGGGGGUUUGUCGGAUUUGAUGGGCGUAAAGGGUGCGUAGGUGGUGAGGUAAGUCGGAGGUGAAAUCGCCGAGCUCAACUCGGAAAUGGCAUUGGAAACUACCUUGCUCGAGGGUUGGAGGGGGGACUGGAAUACUUGGUGUAGCAGUGAAAUGCGUAGAUAUCAAGUGGAACACCAGUGGCGAAGGCGAGUCCCUGGACAACUCCUGACACUGAGGCACGAAAGCUAGGGGAGCAAACAGGAUUAGAUACCCGAGUAGUC